rnacentral:lncRNA from 1 species
GCCUAGUCUCUCUCUGACUUGACCGUCAGAGGGUCCCCGUCGGAAGCAUCUCCAGUCUGUGAGGACUUCUCUUGUAGGUGUGCGACCUCGGCAAUCGGGCGAUGGGGGAUUGGCCGCAACAACCUGCUUUAGAUGCCUUGAGCCCACGGAUAGUCUUGAUGAAGUUACUUGCAUCAUCAUUCGAAAGCUUGACACCAGAUUUACGAGCCCAAUCAGUAAUCUGAUGUGGUUCAAACGAGUGAAGCAGCAGG